GGGUGUGAAGCGGUGAAUUUAAGCCCCAGUAAACGGCGGUGGUAACUAUAACCAUCCUAAGGUAGCGAAAUUCCUUGUCGGGUAAGUUCCGACCUGCACGAAUGGCGUAACGACUUCUCCGCUGUCUCAACCGCGAACUCGGUGAAAUUGCAGUACGAGUAAAGAUGCUCGUUUCGCGCAGAAGGACGGAAAGACCCCGGGACCUUUACUAUAGCUUGGUAUUGGUGUUCGCUUGGACUUGUGUAGGAUAGGUGGGAGACUGUGAAGCUGCCGCGCCAGCGGUGGUGGAGUCGUCGUUGAAAUACCAUUCUGGUUCAAGCGGUCACCUCAACCUUGGCCCGUGAUCCGGGUUGGGGACAGUGCCUGGUGGGUAGUUUAACUGGGGCGGUUGCCUCCUAAAAUGUAACGGAGGCGCUCAAAGGUUCCCUCAGCCUGGUUGGUAAUCAGGUGGCGAGUGCAAGUGUACAAGGGAGCUUGACUGUGAGACCGACGGGUCGAGCAGGUGCGAAAGCAGGAACUAGUGAUCCGGCCAUGGCACGUGGGUGCGUGGUCGCUCAACGGAUAAAAGGUACCCCGGGGAUAACAGGCUGAUCUUGCCCAAGAGUCCAUAUCGACGGCAUGGUUUGGCACCUCGAUGUCGGCUCGUCGCAUCCUGGGGCUGGAGUCGGUCCCAAGGGUUGGGCUGUUCGCCCAUUAAAGCGGUACGCGAGCUGGGUUCAGAACGUCGUGAGACAGUUCGGUCCCUAUCCUCUGUGCGCGCAGGAAAUUUGAGAAGGGCCGUCCCUAGUACGAGAGGACCGGGAUGGACGAACCUCUGGUGUGCCAGUUGUACCGCCAGGUGCAUGGCUGGUUGGCUACGUUCGGAAGGGAUAACCGCUGAAAGCAUCUAAGCGGGAAGCCUGCUUCAAGAUGAG
rnacentral:rRNA from 1 species